rnacentral:lncRNA from 1 species
GAAAGAGCAUUUUCAGCCAUGAAACAUGUUAAGACUAUACUUCGCAACAAGAUGGAGGAUGAAUACCUUGCAAAUUCUCUUAUUGUCUACAUUGAGAAAGAACAUGUUGUGAAUAUUGAUUCAGAUUCAAUAAUCAAAGACUUUGAUUCACUCAAGGAGCGAAGGGUUCCACUUCACUAGGUAAGCUAGUUUUAUUUCCUUUGCAAUGCAAUAUUUGUUUGAUAUUUAACAAUAUGUGUUUAAUUUGAUGUUUAUUUAUAUAUUGACAAUAUGUGGAGAGAAAAAAAAAUAUUAGCCCACCCUUAGAAAAAUUCCUGGAUCCGUCCUUGCAUGUCAAAGGCCUUUUUUUGCAAUUUAUUUUGUUUUUUUUAUACAAUUGCAUUUUCCUUACAUCCGUCCACGCAUGUGCCAACUUGUUUCUUUUUUCUUUUUUAUUUUAUUUUUAGAAUUAAG